rnacentral:rRNA from 1 species
CAUGUAGGCGGCUUAAUAAGUCGAGCGUGAAAAUGCGGGGCUCAACCCCGUAUGGCGUUGGAAACUGUUAGGCUUGAGUGCAGGAGAGGAAAGGGGAAUUCCCAGUGUAGCGGUGAAAUGCGUAGAUAUUGGGAGGAACACCAGUGGCGAAGGCGCCUUUCUGGACUGUGUCUGACGCUGAGAUGCGAAAGCCAGGGUAGCGAACG